rnacentral:rRNA from 1 species
AAAGGGCGUGUAGGUGGUUUUAUAGGUUUGAUGUAAAAGCCCCAGGCUUAACCUGGGAAGCGCGUCAAAAACGAUAAGACUAGAGUGAGAUAGAGGGUCGUGGAAUUUCCGGUGUAGCAGUGAAAUGCGUAGAGAUCGGAAGGAACAUCAGUGGCGAAGGCGACGACCUGGAUCUUAACUGACACUGAGGCGCGAAAGCGUGGGGAGCAAACAGGAUUAGAUACCCUAGU